rnacentral:rRNA from 1 species
UACUAACGCUGGCGGCGUGCUUAACACAUGCAAGUCGAACGGAAAGGCCCCUUUGGGGGUACUCGAGUGGCGAACGGGUGAGUAACACGUGAGUAACCUGCCCUUGACUUCGGGAUAACUUCAGGAAACUGGGGCUAAUACCGGAUAGGAAUCCUUGCUGCAUGGUGGGGGUUGGAAAGCUUCGGCGGUUUUGGAUGGACUCGCGGCUUAUCAGCUUGUUGGUGGGGUAGUGGCUUACCAAGGCUUUGACGGGUAGCCGGCCUGAGAGGGCGACCGGCCACAUUGGGACUGAGAUACGGCCCAGACUCCUACGGGAGGCAGCAGUGGGGAAUAUUGCACAAUGGGCGGAAGCCUGAUGCAGCAACGCCGCGUGCGGGAUGACGGCCUUCGGGUUGUAAACCGCUUUCAGCAGGGGCGAAGCUUGUGGUGACGGUACCUGCAGAAGAAGCACCGGCUAACUACGUA